rnacentral:tmRNA from 1 species
AUCCCUAUAUCGCAUCCGUCGGGUUUACCCGACUAUGGCGAUAAACUGCGGCGUAUAAUAGACGCAGCGGACCCGGGGGCAGUACCCGGCGGCUCCACCAUCGCAGCUGAGGCAGAAGGUCCGUUACGGCGGAGUUUCGGUCGCCAGCGUCGCUGAUGGGGCCGAACCAGGAUCGACGUGUGUUGAAAAGCGCUGUUUUCGUUCGGAAUGGGACCACCGUGACGGCCCAUAUAGACAAGUGCCAACGAUAACGAGGCUCUUGCGAUUGCCGCGUAAUCCGAACCUAACGGUUUAGAUUACAUCGGACAAAAGCGCGGUUGGGCUGCACCGGGCAACAGAAG